AUUGAACGCUGGCGGCAGGCCUAACACAUGCAAGUCGAGCGGAUGAAGAGAGCUUGCUCUCUGAUUCAGCGGCGGACGGGUGAGUAAUGCCUAGGAAUCUGCCUGGUAGUGGGGGACAACGUUUCGAAAGGAACGCUAAUACCGCAUACGUCCUACGGGAGAAAGUGGGGGAUCUUCGGACCUCACGCUAUCAGAUGAGCCUAGGUACGAUUAGCUAGUUGGUGAGGUAAAGGCUCACCAAGGCGACGAUCGUUAACUGGUCUGAGAGGAUGAUCAGUCACACUGGAACUGAGACGCGGUCCAGACUCCUACGGGAGGCAGCAGUGGGGAAUAUUGGACAAUGGGCGAAAGCCUGAUCCAGCCAUGCCGCGUGUGUGAAGAAGGUCUUCGGAUUGUAAAGCACUUUAAGUUGGGAGGAAGGGCAGUAAGUUAAUACCUUGCUGUUUUGACGUUACCGACAGAAUAAGCACCGGCUAACUUCGUGCCAGCAGCCGCCGUAACAC
rnacentral:rRNA from 1 species